UACGGGGUUCUGUGGGGCUUUAUGAGGGGUAUCUGGAGUUCUGCAUUCCCAUUAUGGGGUUCUGUGGGGGCCCUGCGAGCCCCGAGAGGAGGGAACGGGACGGGAACGGAGCUUCCGGCCGCGCCGCGCUCGUCAGGGCCAUCUUGGAACAAAAAAUGGCGGCAGCGCAGGCGCGGUGCGGCCGUUACCACGGCAACGCGGACGCCAUGAGGGGUGAGGUGCCGUACUCAGGCUAGCACCUCACCAAGAUGGCCGCCCCGUAGUGCCGUACGUCAAAAUGGCGUCUCACUAAUUUGGCCUGUCCCGGCGCCCGUACUCAAGAUGGCGCCUAUCAAGUGGCAUCAGUGCACCCCCCCCCCGUGCCCGCCCCUGUCUCCCCUCUCCCCAUGGCGGCGCAGAGCCGCGCUCCCCCCCAGCCGCCUCCCUCCCCUCUCCUCACGGCUCCUGCUCCCGCACCUCUCUCUGCACCUCCUCCAUGGCCGCCCUAUGGCGGCGGGCGGGGCGGGGAGGGGCGGGAGGGGGCAGGAGGAGGAAGGGAACCGAGUGGUUCCGGGAGGAGCCGACACCUCCCAUUGCCCCCCCCGCCGGGCACGGCUCAGCCCGGAUCGGCACGGCACGGCUCGGCUCGGCCCAGGGUAGAACCGGGGCACCGAGGGGGUCUGGGGCAGGCCGGCAGCCGGAGGGGGGCAGUCGCGGGGGGGCGGCGCUGCUGUCCCGGCCUGCAGCGGGGACCGUGUCCCCCUUCCCAUCCCUCCUGCCGGAGGCACUCGUGUUCCCCGCGGCCGCUCCGGGUCACGGUCUCCACGGCAACAGCUGCUGCCGCCGCUCCGGGUCACGGUCUCCACGGCAACAGCUGCUGCCGCCGCUCCGGGUCACGGUCUCCACGGCAACAGCUGCUGCCGCCGCUGCUGCACGGACUCGGCAUCCACCUCCUGCACGGCGCCACCACCGUGGUCUUUGGGGAUGUUUCUCAUCACACCCCAAAGCUUUUCCAGGAGUCAAACGCAUCGGUUUCCCUCUCUUCCCCCAAGAAAGGGGAAGUUUGUGGCCGGUUGCAAUGAUAGCACCUGGAGUGGUGCUGCCCUGAAACAGGAUGAAAUGGCUGCAUCCUUCCGGGAGGCUGCCUCCGAAAGCAGAAUUGCCCUGUGAGCUGGAGAGGUGCCCCUGCAGUGAGGGCCCGUGCCCAGGGAGGCAUGGGGAGCUGGGGACUUGGCACUUUCCUGCCUAUCAUAGAGGACUGUGAUGUACGAUGGUAAUGAAUGCAUCUUUAUUUAUAGAUAUGAUACUAUGAAAUAGCUUUAUUAUCCCUUGCUAAAAAUGCUUCCUUUUUUGCUUUCUUAGCAGUCAGUGCAAAAAUUCAAGUUAAUAUCAUAAUAUCAUGGUAAAAGCUGCAAGCUCUGAAGUGGUACAGGCUGGCAGGAAGCUCCCAGUGUAUGGUUUGGUGUGAGCAGCACCGAUGUAUUAGGUUUGGCAUAGUAGUACAUGGGUUUUUUUUUCUUGUUUUUUAGUGGCCAUCUAUGCCAUCUAUGCAUCUAUGCUUAACUUGUUAACAAUUUAUGUUCAUAUGUACGAGGAGGAGGAACAUAAAGAUGAUGUAAGGAUAGACAGGUUUGUAAAACCAGCCAUUUCUUCAAGGGACGGCUGCUGCAGCAAUACCCUGCUUGCACGAUGCCCUAUAUGAGUGUCUGUUUUGAGCGAGUUUUACACGUGACCUGCACCCUGAUCAUGCGUUCUUUUUAGGCUGCACACCCGCCUAUCAGCCUCAUCAGCGUUGAUGCUGUGGACCCACAUCAGUGGUUUCUUGAGCUUUGAGAAAAACCCAGUUCUUGUUCUUAGAUAAAUACAAGAACCCUUCUGUUUCAGAGCAGCGUGCAGCCAUGUGCACACUGUGUGUGCCAGAACAGACCCUUUCAAGAGCUCCAGAAGACUUUUUUAGCCUCUUUCUUUCAUCUGCAAGACCAAAAAGGAAAGAGAGGUUUCUGCAACUGGGAAGCAGGAGAAGAGAGCGGAGUGACAAGACUUCACCUGUACCGUAGCUGAUGGUGGGCUCACAGACCAGAACACACACAGCCUAUUGCACAGAUCGGCUUUCCUGGCAGCCCCGGGCAGCACUUGCAGGGACAGAGGUAUGGGACGCCUAAAAAUAGUUACUGAAAGAGACUAAAAGACAAGGACAGCUGGAAAAAAC